rnacentral:lncRNA from 1 species
GCUAGAGACAGGGUUUCACCGAAACAGACAGGAAGGGAGAGAGAGAGACAGACAGACAGAGAAAGAGAAUGAGACAGAAGACAGACACAGUGAGACAGGCAGAGAGAGAGAGAGAGAGACAGAGACAGAGAGAAAGAGACAGACAGAGAAAGAGACAGACAGAGAAAGACAGAGACAGACAGAGAGAGAAGGAGAGAAACAGGCAGAGAGAGAGAGAGCGAGAGAGAGAGAAACAGAAAGGGAGGGUCUCAAACUCCUGACCUCAAGUGAUCCACCCUCCUAAAGUGCUGGGAUUACAGACGUGAGCCACCGCUCCCAGCCUUUUUUUUUUUUUUAAUCAGGCAGGCUCUGAAGCCAGUGUAGGCUCAGAGAGACUCUCUGUACUUUUUUCUAUUCAGAACUAUAAUUUGGUAUUCCUACACUCUCCCAGCGACUCCAAGUUAUCUCUCUUCUUGCAACCCACCAGUAGCUGUUUUCUGCCAGAAUUUGUGGAUGUUUUCUUGUGCAUGUACCACUUAGUAUUCAGCCAAAGACUAAGGGAAUCCCUUUGUAUUUCUUGAGCUCCUUUUCUGUGUACACCUCUACUUUCUUCUAUUCCGCUCAAAAAUUACAGCCACUACCACCAUUUGGAACUCUGAUCUCUGCUUCUUCAGCUCAGCAACAUAUUUGUAUUCUAAUUAGGCUUCACCUCUCUGCACCCUGGUUUGGAAAGUGUGCCCGGGCAGAAAGCUGUGUUGAAUACGGAGCACAUUUCAUGUAUUUGCAUUUUUCUCAAAGAUCACAGGAAGCACUAUCUGUUGUUCAAUGCCUAGAUACAGUCGCUUCAUAUAUUUGCCAAUUUUGUUGUUUCUGAUGGAAGAGUAAGCCUAAUACCUGUUACUUCAUCAUGGCCACAUCUAGAAAGCCUUGGCAUUUUUUUUUCUUCUUUGCUUCUUUUUUUUAAAAUUAAAAUUAAU